rnacentral:rRNA from 1 species
GACGAACGCUGGCGGCGUGCUUAACACAUGCAAGUCGAACGGAAAGGCCCCUUUGGGGGUACUCGAGUGGCGAACGGGUGAGUAACACGUGAGUAACCUGCCCUUGACUUCGGGAUAACUUCAGGAAACUGGGGCUAAUACCGGAUAGGAAUCCUUGCUGCAUGGUGGGGGUUGGAAAGCUUCGGCGGUUUUGGAUGGACUCGCGGCUUAUCAGCUUGUUGGUGGGGUAGUGGCUUACCAAGGCUUUGACGGGUAGCCGGCCUGAGAGGGCGACCGGCCACAGUGGGACUGAGAUACGGCCCAGACUCCUACGGGAGGCAGCAGUGGGGAAUAUUGCACAAUGGGCGGAAGCCUGAUGCAGCAACGCCGCGGGCGGGAUGACGGCCUUCGGGUUGUAAACCGCUUUCAGCAGGGGCGAAGCUUGUGGUGACGGUACCUGCAGAAGAAGCACUGGCUAACUACGUG